GAUGAACGCUAGCUACAGGCUUAACACAUGCAAGUCGAGGGGAAACGACAUCGAAAGCUUGCUUUUGAUGGGCGUCGACCGGCGCACGGGUGAGUAACGCGUAUCCAACCUGCCCACCACUUGGGGAUAACCUUGCGAAAGUAAGACUAAUACCCAAUGAUAUCCCACGAAGACAUCUGAAUGGGAUUAAAGAUUUAUCGGUGAUGGAUGGGGAUGCGUCUGAUUAGCUUGUUGGCGGGGUAACGGCCCACCAAGGCAACGAUCAGUAGGGGUUCUGAGAGGAAGGUCCCCCACAUUGGAACUGAGACCCGGUCCAAACUCCUACGGGAGGCAGCAGUGAGGAAUAUUGGUCAAUGGGCGAGAGCCUGAACCAGCCAAGUAGCGUGCAGGAAGACGGCCCUAUGGGUUGUAAACUGCUUUUAUAAGGGAAUAAAGUGGGUCACGUGUGACUUUUUGCAUGUACCUUAUGAAUAAGGACCGGCUAAUUCCGUG
rnacentral:rRNA from 1 species